AUCAUCUGGGGAUCUUAUUAAAAUGCAGAUUUUGAUUCAGUAGGUCCGUGAUGGGGUCUGAAAUUCUGCAUUUAUAAUAUGCUCCUAGAUAAUGGUGA
rfam:Myotis lucifugus cont2.16322, whole genome shotgun sequence.